CUAAAAGCAUUGUGAUUCUCCUUCUCGGAUCAUUACACAAUGUGAUUUCUGCCCAGUGCUCUGAAUGUCAAAGUGAAGAAAUUCAAACAAGCGCGGGUAAACGGCGGGAGUAACUAUGACUCUCUUAAGGUAGCCAAAUGCCUCGUCAUUUGAUUAGUGACGCGCAUGAAUGGAUCAACGAGAUUCCCACUGUCCCUACCCACCCUGCAGCGAACCCACAGCAUCGGGAACGGACGAUGCUAUAGUCAGAGGGGAAAGAAGACCCUGUUGAGUUUGACUCUACCUUGAUGGAGCCGAAUGUCUUUGGGAGUGUAGAGUAAGUGGGAGAGUAAUCAAUCUUGAAACACCACUAUCUCGAACGAUAUUCGGCUAAGGAAAUUAAAAGGGAGUAAGUAGCAAUACUUACCUUCUAGAUUAUUAGUUUCCCUUAUUUCCUACCCCCCAUCAGGCGGGGAGUUUGGCUGGGGCGGCACGCCUGCUAUACCACAACGCAGGUGUCCUAAGGGGAGCUCCGAUGGAACAGAAAUCCC
rnacentral:rRNA from 1 species